rnacentral:rRNA from 1 species
CCUACGGGUGGCAGCAGUGGGGAAUAUUGGGCAAUGGGCGCAAGCCUGACCCAGCAACGCCGCGUGAAGGAAGAAGGCUUUCGGGUUGUAAACUUCUUUUCUUAGGGACGAAGCACGUGACGGUACCUGAGGAAUAAGCCACGGCUAACUACGUGCCAGCAGCCGAGGUAAUACGUAGGUGGCAAGCGUUAUCCGGAUUUAAUGGGUGUAAAGGGAGUGUAGGCGGGACUGCAAGUCAGAUGUGAAAACCAUGGGCUCAACCUAUGGCCUGCAUUUGACACUGUAGUUCUUGAGUACUGGAGAGGCAGGCGGAAUUCCUGGUGUAGCGGUGAAAUGCGUAGAUAUUAGGAAGAACACCGGUGGCGAAGGCGGUCUGCUGAACAGCAACUGACACUGAGGCGCGAAAGCGUGGGGAGCAAACAGGAUUAGAUACCCGGGUAGUC